rnacentral:hammerhead_ribozyme from 1 species
AUCAAGCUGACGAGUCUCAAAUAGGACGAAACGUGCGUCCUGGAU